AUUGAACGCUCGCGGGAUGCUUUACACAUGCAAGUCGAACGGCAGCGCGGACUUCGGUCUGGCUGCUAGUGGCGAACGGGUGAGUAAUGUAUCGGAACGUGCCCAGUAGCGGGGGAUAACUACUCGAAAGCGUAGCUAAUACCGCAUACGCCCUACGGGGGAAAGCAGGGGAUCGUAAGACCUUGCACUAUUGGAGCGGCCGAUAUCGGAUUAGCUAGUUUGUGAGGUAACGGCUCACCAAGGCGACGAUCCGUAGCUGGUUUGAGAGGACGACCAGCCACACUGGGACUGAGACACGGCCCAGACUCCUACGGGAGGCAGCAGUGGGGAAUUUUGGACAAUGGGGGCAACCCUGAUACAGCCAUCCCGCGUGUGCGAUGAAGGCCUUCGGGUUGUAAAGCACUUUUGGCAGGAAAGAAACGUCGCGGGCUAAUACCCCGUGGAACUGACGGUACCUGCAGAAUAAGCACCGGCUAACUACGUG
rnacentral:rRNA from 1 species